GACGAACGCUGGCGGCGUGCUUAACACAUGCAAGUCGAACGGAAAGGCCUCUUUCGGGGGGUAUUCGAGGGGGGACGGGGGGAGAAAACCGUGAGAAACUGCCCCUUAACUUUGGGUUAACUCCAGGAAACGGGGGCUAAAACGGGUAAGAGGCUCUGCCGCAAGGGGGGGGGUGGGAAAGUUUGGCGGUUGGGGGUGGACUCGCGGCUUAUCAGCUUGUUGGUGGGGGAGUGGCUUACCAAGGCCUUGACGGGGGGCCGGCCUGAGCGGGGGACCGGCCACAUUGGGACUGAGAUACGGCCCAGACUCCUACGGGAGGCAGCAGUGGGGAAUAUUGCACAAUGGGUGGAAGCCUGAUGCAGCAACGCCGUGUGCGGGAUGACGGCCUUCGGGUUGUAAACCGCUUUCGCUCAUGACGAAGCUUUGUGUGACGGUAGUGGGUAAAGAAGCACCGGCUAACUACGUG
rnacentral:rRNA from 1 species